GAUGAAGAACGCAGCGAAAUGCGAUAAGUAAUGCGAAUUGCAGAAUUUCCGUGGGUCAUCGAAUCUUUGAACGCACAUUGCGCCCACUGGUAUUCCGGUGGGCAUGCCUGUUCGAGCGUCAUUAUCCUCCCUCAAACCCCGGGUUUGGUGUUGGACCCAAGUUGUGUGAACAACUGGUCUCAAAGACAAUGACGGCGUCCGUGGGACCCUCGGUGCAACGAGCUUUUAGGAGCACGCGCCGAGUUGCAAGGACCUUCCGGGCCGGUCUCCUUUUACUAUUUUACAAGGUUGACCUCGGAUCAGGUAGGAAUACCCGCUGAACUUAAGCAUAUCAAUAAGCGGAGGA
rnacentral:misc_RNA from 1 species